UUGACCUGGGACUUCCCAGUUUCCAGAACUGUGAGAAAUAAAUUUUUUAUGAUUUACCCAGUCUAAGAUAUUUUGUGACAGCAGCAGGAAUGGACUAACAUACUGGGUCUAGCAAAGAGUUCUCAAGUGCACUGCUUCUCUCCCACCACUGCCUGUUCUCACUUUCUUUCGAAGACGUGAUUAAGUUUCCACAUUUGUUUGGUCCCUCAAAAGGCAAAGAUGAAGUACAGGAGAAAUACAUGGAUCACAGGCAAGAUCCAAAGCUGGCUGCAGUCUCUGAGGCCUGAGCCUCCCGUGAAGGCUCUUGCCCCUCCUUGUUCCAUACAUCUUUCUUCUUCAUAGCAAGACACUCCCAUUAAGCCCAAAAGCCCAGAGUGCAACUCAGAUAUACAAUAUAUUACCUGUUGCAUCACUUUCUUUGAUAUAGUUUGACUCUGUGUCCC
rnacentral:lncRNA from 1 species